rnacentral:rRNA from 1 species
AUAGCGGCAAACGGGUUAGGAACACGUAAGUAAUUUUCCCUUUAUUCAGGAAUAGCCCUAUGAGAAUAGGAGUAAUAUCUGAUGGUACGGUGAAGUUGCAUGAUUUUACCGUUAAAGGCGGGGACCGCAAGGCCUGCCGAUAAAGGAUGAGCUUGCGUAGCAUCAGCUAGUUGGUAGGGUAACGGCCUACCAAGGCUAAGACGCUUAGCUGGUCUGAGAGGACGACCAGCAACACUGGGACUGAGACACUGCCCAGACUCCUACGGGAGGCUGCAGUCGAGAAUAUUUAGCAAUGGGCGAAAGCCUGACUAUGCGACGCCGCGUGAAGGAUGAAGGUCUUCGGAUCGUAUACUUCUUUUGGCAGGGAAGAAAACUCCGCAUUUAACUAAUGCGGGGCUGACGGUACCUGCAGAAUCAGCCACGGCUAACUCCGUGCCAGCAGCCGCGGUAAUACGGAGGUGGCUAGCGUUACUCGGAAUUAUUGGGUGUAAAGGGCAAGUAGGCGGCUUAACAAGUGGGGGGUGAAAUACUCCGGCUCAAUCGGAGAACUGCCUUCCAAACUGUUAGGCUUGAGUGUGACAGAGGAAAAUGGAAUUCUCGGUGUAAGGGUGAAAUCUGUAGAUAUCGAGAAGAACACCAGCGGCGAAGGCGAUUUUCUGGGUCACUACUGACGCUAAAUUGCGAAAGCUAGGGGAGCAAACAGAAUUANAUACUCUGGUAGUCCUAGCCGUAAACGAUGAGCACUAGGUGUUGGUCCAUUAGGAUCGGCGCCGCAGCUAACGCAUUAAGUGCUCCACCUGGGGACUACGGUCGCA